AAGUCGUAACAAGGUUUCCGUAGGUGAACCUGCGGAAGGAUCAUUAUCGAAAUUAUUGGUGAGGGUUGUAGCUGGCCUUUCGAGGCAUGUGCACGCUCGAGCCCUUAAUCCACUUUACACCUGUGCACUUAAUGUAGGUCGCCCUUAAAAAAGGUGACCUAUGUCUUAUCAUCAACCCAUCGUAUGUCUCAUAGAAUGUAAUCGAUAUCCUCGCCCUAAAAAAGCGUUGAUAAACUUAUACAACUUUCAACAACGGAUCUCUUGGCUCUCGCAUCGAUGAAGAACGCAGCGAAAUGCGAUAAGUAAUGUGAAUUGCAGACUUUCAGUGAAUCAUCGAAUCUUUGAACGCACCUUGCGCUCCUUGGUAUUCCGAGGAGCAUGCCUGUUUGAGUGUCAUUAAAUUCUCAACUCCAAGGGUUUCACGACCUUUUGGAGAUUGGACUUGGAGGUGCUGGCCGCAUAUUGGUCGGCUCCUCUCAAAUGCAUCAGUGGAAUUCAACCUUUGGCUUCCGGAUGUCAGUGUGAUAAUCAUGUUGCGCUGUCGUUUGAUCCCUCAGAGUCCGCUUAUAAUGGUCUUCGGACAAAAUCAUCAUCAAAUUUGACCUCAAAUCAGGUAGGACUACCCGCUGAACUUAA
rnacentral:rRNA from 1 species